rnacentral:rRNA from 1 species
GGAGUUUGAUCAUGGCUCAGGAUGAACGCUAGCGGCAGGCUUAACACAUGCAAGUCGAGGGGCAGCGGGGUGUAGCAAUACACUGCCGGCGACCGGCGCACGGGUGCGUAACGCGUAUGCAACCUACCCAUAACAGGGGCAUAACACUGAGAAAUUGGUACUAAUUCCCCAUAACAUUCGAAGAGGCAUCUCUUUGGGUUGAAAACCCCGGUGGUUAUGGAUGGGCAUGCGUUGUAUUAGCUAGUUGGUGGGG